rnacentral:rRNA from 2 species
CGCCUUCUGAAAAAAUAUAGAAGGUCCAGCCUGCCCAGUGACCAAGUUAAACGGCCGCGGUACCCUGACCGUGCGAAGGUAGCGCAAUCACUUGUUCUUUAAAUGAGGACUAGUAUGAACGGCAUCACGAGGAUUAUACUGUCUCCCUCCUUCAAUCAGUGAAACUGAUCCCCCCGUGAAGAAGCGGGGAUUAACCUAUAAGACGAGAAGACCCUAUGGAGCUUUAAACUUAGUACCACAUACCUAAAUACACACCCUAACAAACAGGUAUGGCCUGGACACUAGUUUUAGGUUGGGGUGACCGCGGAGCAAAAUAAAACCUCCACGAUGAGCUAUUAUUUAUAAUCUAAGAGCAACAUCUCAAAGAAUCAAUAAAUUGACAUUCAUUGACCCAAACUAAUUUGAUCAACGAACCAAGUUACCCUAGGGAUAACAGCGCAAUCCAUUUCAAGAGCUCAUAUCGACAGAUGGGUUUACGACCUCGAUGUUGGAUCAGGGUAUCCCAGUGGUGCAGCCGCUACUAAAGGUUCGUUUGUUCAACGAUUAAAACCCU